GACGAACGCUGGCGGCGUGCUUAACACAUGCAAGUCGAACGAAGUGGCGAACGGGUGAGUAACGCGUACUCAACCUGCCCUUCAGAGGGGGACAACAGUUGGAAACUACUGAUAAUACGGCAUAGUGACGGUGGGGAUUGCGUCUGAUUAGCUAGUUGGAGGGGUAACGGCCAACAAAGGCGCUGAUCAGUAGCCGGUCUGAGAGGAUGAACGGCCACAUUGGGACUGAGACACGGCCCAGACUCCUACGGGAGGCAGCAGGGGGGAAUCUUCCGCAAUGGACGAAAGUCUGACGGAGCAACGGCGCGUGAGUGAUGACGGCCUUCGGGUUGUAAAGCUCUGUUAAUCGGGACGCGGUACCGGAAUAGAAAGCCACGGCUAACUACGUGCCAGCAGCCGCGGUAAUAC
rnacentral:rRNA from 1 species